AUGGCAAUUGGGAUCCAUAGUUCUCUGUAGAAUGGUCUGAUUCAAUGAGGUAUCCAUUUUUGUUUCUAGCCUCCAAUACAAAUCAUAGUAAACUGGAGACCUACUAGAAGAACAUCAAGAUUUGAAAACCUUGGAAAAGUCAGAUUUGCUGUCCAACACUUAGGAUGUCUGUAAACCAAUUGUUAGUUGCUCCCAUAAAUACAUCAUGCAUUUUUCUUUGAUAAAUUCCCUUAAUGUAUUUGAUAGCAGUGUCUAAAGAAACAGCAGUAUCAGCCACCUUCACAGUUCAGCUUUCUGUAGUGGCAAAAUCAGGUGAGAGGGACAUGGGUGAACUGGAGAACAUCAUCCUCAGCAAACUGACACAAGAACAGAAAAUGAAACACCGCAUAUCCUCACUCAUAGGUGGGUGAUGAAAAAUGAGAACACAUGGACACAGAAAGGGGAGUACUAAACACUGGGGUCUAUUGGGGGGAAAAGGGGAGGGCCAGUGGGAGGGGGAGGUGGGGAGGGAUAGCCUGGGGAGAUUUACAUACUCUUAAAUCCAAUUUUGUUUCUCCAUCUCAGUUGCAUAGCACUAUUUAUUAAAUAGGUUAUUAUAGGUAAUUUGAGGAUCAAUCAUAAAGAGUUCACUUAAAUGGACUAUCUUAACAGUGUCAGUACUGGCUGACUUAGCCUGAAAAGCUGCCAAAGCAUUCCCCUUAUAUUUAACGACUUCUGGUUCUGCUUGAUGCUGGGAUAGCAGUUUCAUGAACCAGUCAGUUUCUUCAUGAGAGUUCUGGGAAUCCUUAUCCAGGCCAAUAGUAUGAUCUUAAAGUUAUCAGAAACCUGCUUGUCAGAGUCCUUUCCAUAAAUAUUCUUAAAGAUGAAACACUUUAGGCUUAUAGUUGCUCAGGAAAGCACCAGAGUAAACAAUUAACUGUGAAUAAUAAGACUUAGAGUGGCCAUGGUUAAAAAUCCAAAGAGCAUUCAUUACAAUGACGACACAACUGACAAACACACAGUUAUUUCUGUUGCAUAUAAUACUUUAAGGUAACUAGAAUUUUGGCUGAUAGCAAUAUGCCAGGACUAUUACAUUUCUAUGAAUUUUAUAUAAUUUAUAAAAUGCAUAUUAAUACAUCCAUACAAGCAUGGCUCAAAGGAGGGAAAACAUCGUUUCUUAUUUGACAAUGCUUCCCAUAUAAUUUACCAUAUCAAAUAAGCCUAAUUAGCUUAAUAUCUCUCUUUUAUAAGAGAGAACAAUUUCCUUUUGAUCAGUUCCAAGGGCCCAUUUGGAAAACCCCACAGCUCAAAAGGUCAAAAGGAUUUAAUUUAGAAUUUGAUUUUGGAAAGUAUGUAAAAAACCAAAGUGUGUUAAAACACUUAAUCAAAACAGAAUCUCAGGUUCUUGUGAACAACAGUCACUCAUUUAAGUAACGUGAUAAUAGAAAGACUUCAAGGCAAAUACAGAAGGUUACAUAGUUGUAGAAUCAUCAGCUAUUUUCAUAGUGAAAACUCAUUUUCUUAAGUGAUCAAAAAGCUAAUAGACAACAUGAAGCACAGAAAUUAUCUUGUUAAAACAUAGAAUCUUUAUUUUCUAGGCCAGUUACCCUAAAAAGUAAAGAAAAACCUUUCAUAAUUUCUCAUUGAAAGCAGCGGCCAAUACCCUAAGAAAACCUUGUUGUUUUAACAGAAAGGACUAUAUUCCAGUUUUGCCUCAGUAUAUUAAUGCUCAAUUUUUAGAAAAACUUACAAAUAAUUUCCUUCUCAUAUUAGCUAGUUUGAUUACGCAUAAAAUUUCUUUCAAAAGAUUCAUCUUUCACAAACCUUCUACAACUUUCUUGCCCAUUCUGUUUUUGUCCUCUUCUCAUUUUGGAACAACCAGUCAUUCUACUUUUGGACAAAACUACUCUUUUUUCUUAAUAAAACAAAACUUCUUCAUUCUUGUAUAUUUUCC
rnacentral:lncRNA from 13 species